rnacentral:lncRNA from 1 species
GACUUGCCAAGGCAGUAUUACAGAGAAUUAAGCCCUACCUUAGGGCAUGCCAGGAGCCUGCUGGAGGUGUCAGUGUUACUGGAAAAGAGGCCCAACCCAGACCCCAAGAGAAGGUUCUUGGAACUCGUACAAGAAAGAAUUCUGGGAGGUGCUGGCCAUUCCAGGUACCAUGAGGCCAAUGAAAUCAAUGUUCUGUCCUUUCCUUCAUGGUACUGACUGAAGAUCUUUAUCUGAUGUGUUGGAUCACAGGCACAGGCAGGGACAAGAGACAACUUCUACACAUGUCCCAGCCUCUGCUUCACUGGGAACAAGAAGUUGCUCUGAAGUAGACCCCUGAGCAACACAGGUAUAUGAGGAUUUUCCUCCGCCUCGGCCACCCCUGAGACAGCAAGAUCAAUCCUUCCUCUUCCUCCUCUUCCUCCACCUCCUCAAUGUGAAGAUGAUGAGAAUGAAGACCUUGAUGAUGAUCCACUUCCACUUAAUGAAUAGUGAAUCCAUUUCCUCCUCCUUAUGAUUUUCCUAAAAGCAUUUUCUUUUCUCUAGCUUGCUUUAUUAGAAGAAUACCAUAUAUAAUACAUAUAAACAUACACGAUAUGUAUUAAUUUACUGUUUAUAAUAUUGGUGAGGUUUCUGGCCAAGAUUUCUUCCCAGUUCUGACAUUAAAAAAUGCUUCCUGAACACAUGUUGUUCAAGGAUCCACUGUAUAUUAAUUAUAUAAUGUAUAUAUUUAU